rnacentral:rRNA from 1 species
GACGGAGGGUGCAAGCGUUGUUCGGAAUUACUGGGCGUAAAGCGCGGGCAGGUGGCUCUUUAAGUCCUUUGUGAAAUUCCGGGGCUCAACUCCGGAUGUGCAUAGGAUACUGGAGAGCUAGAGACUGGUAGAGGCGAGCGGAAUUCCUGGUGUAGCGGUGGAAUGCGUAGAUAUCAGGAGGAACACCGAUGGCGAAGGCAGGUCUCUGGGCCACUACUGACGCUGAGAAGCGAAAGCGUGGGGAGCGAACAGG